rnacentral:rRNA from 1 species
UACGUAGGGUGCGAGCGUUAAUCGGAAUUACUGGGCGUAAAGCGUGCGCAGGCGGUUUUGUAAGCCAGAUGUGAAAUCCCCGGGCUCAACCUGGGAACUGCAUUUGGGACUACAAGGCUAGAGUGUGUCAGAGGGGGGUAGAAUUCCACGUGUAGCAGUGAAAUGCGUAGAGAUGUGGAGGAAUACCGAUGGCGAAGGCAGCCCCCUGGGAUAACACUGACGCUCAUGCACGAAAGCGUGGGGAGCAAACAGG